rnacentral:rRNA from 1 species
GUGUCAGCAGCCGCGGUAAUACCGGCAGCCCAAGUGAUGGCCGAUCUUAUUGGGCCUAAAGCGUCCGUAGCUGGCCGCACAAGUCCAUCGGAAAAUCCACCCGCCCAACGGGUGGGCGUCCGGUGGAAACUGCGUGGCUUGGGACCGGAAGGCGCGACGGGUACGUCCGGGGUAGGAGUGAAAUCCUGUAAUCCUGGACGGACCGCCGAUGGCGAAAGCACGUCGCGAGGACGGAUCCGACAGUGAGGGACGGAAGCCAGGGUCUCGAACCGG